rnacentral:lncRNA from 10 species
AGCCUGACCUCCAGCUUGCCUGUCAAGUAGAGGCUUGGUUGUCCUGGAGGCACUGCCUCUCUCAGCCCCCUCCCCUCCUACUGUCCAGACUCGAGUCCAGCACUCCCUCUACCCGUGUGCUCUCCAUAUCCCUGCCCUGUAGCCAGGGACUCCCAGUCACCACUUACCUAAGUUUCAUUCUCUAAAGACCCUGGUAAUUGGAAAUAGAUUCCUACUAAUGCACUAAUUUGUUACUCCUCAAGAAGUAAAUGUGAUCUUAAAGUGAUCUUAGGUAGAUAAAGUCUUAAUCCACUGGUUUCCUGAAGUCCUCAUCUUCCUUGGAUGUACCUGAGGGUCACUAUAGAAAGCUUGGAACCCUCCGCCCUCUAUCAGAGCUCCAGCCAGAGCUGUUCUGAUUUUAUACGCCUCCUUAAAAACACUCUAUACUGGGGUCACACAGUGUGAUCUAUGAAAGGGUGGGCUCUGGAGCCAGACCAGGCAGGAUGGAAACCCAGCUCUAGCACCUACAGCUGUGUGAUGUUGGGCAUAUCAUUUAACUUCUCUGUGCCUUAAUUUUGCCAUCUGUAAAGUAUGAACAGUAACAGCACACUGUAUCUACCUUGUAGAAUUGUUGGACUAAAUGAGUUAAAACAUCUGGCAUACAGUAAAUACUACUUAAGAAUGCGCUAGUAUCGUCUACAUAGGGGCCCUCAGAGAUUUUGUUUG